GUGUGAAGGUUUCCGAGCUUGCAGAAGCACCAUCUCGGACUAUGGUGCAUGGCUGUGAUGUGACAAAUUUCUGCACAUCCCGUUCUCGUGACCCAAGCCAAGCUGUGCUGAUAAUGGCUCAGGAGAGAUUUGGAGGCUGCAUUAAACUAACAUAGCCCUGGCCAGAUGUACCUUUCCAGCAGGUGGCCAUCACAUACUCAUCACUGUUUUCACUACCAACCUCUCAUCUUUGAACGGAAAGAAACCCCACAACCGCGCAUGGGAAGCUCUGAGAAAUAGUUAGCUUUGACAUUGAAGAAAAGAAGAUAUAAAUUAUGCUUCUGGUGGAGAUGGGCUCUGAGUCUCCAUGGACAGAGAGCUUCAUGGAAGAGCUGGUCAGAAGAUCAGAGUCUAAAAAUAAACACUCAAAGUAAGUUGAAAUCCUGCUGUGCUUUCCUUCUUUCUCUUCCUGAUCUGGUGCAGGUCUGCCUCAAAUGUUGGUCCGUUCGUACAGAUAUCUGACUCAGUACAGCUCAGCUGUGUUGGCUUUGCUCUGGGAACUGGAGGGCACGAAGGCAGCUCACAGACAGCAUCCAGACCUGGAGACACUGGGCUGCACAGGCACAUGUUGUGUGGCGUCCACAGCUGGAGAUGCUGGGCUUCCAACGCGGUGUCCAAUGCCAAGAUUUUAGUGACAGACACUGAGAUAUUUAAUCUUGAUUUUUGUCAGUGCUGUGCACGUCCAGCUGAACUCAGUGGGACUUGUGGAUUGACUCAUAUCUACAAAUUGGAUUCAGGGUUCAGAUCCGAAACUCGCAGUCACUGGUUGCUUCUCAGAUCCACUGGAACCACCAGAGGUUCGAGUAGAGCCUGGCUGCGUGAUGUCACCCAGCAUGAUUUUCAGCCCUGGAAAGAGGAACUUAAUGGUGGAAGUGCAAAUCAGAUUUUCCUGUCGGACACUCAUAGCACUGGAAGCGUGUGGUGCUUGCUGGCUCCGCAGGGAACGAGAUCACUGCGAAAAGAUUCAUUACCAGUGAUGACUGCUGGAAUAUAUCUGUCUGCGUGGGAAAACAUUGCCAGCAAGCUGCAUUUGGAGCUGCAGCUGAGCGGCUUAAUGCUGCCGAAUAGGAGUUCCUCCGGUAGCGCAAGGAAAAGUCACUUCCCCAGCGAACUGCCUUGUGCUCCAUGGCUCCUUCUGCCACUGGUGCAAAAAACAAUUUGGCAUCUCCAGCUUUGCUGAAAGGGAGAGCAAGGAUGAGGUGGCAGCUGCUUGUGUUUGGGCCUCAUCCUCCAGCCAAGCUGGAUCAGAGUCACGGGAUGGCAGCGCCCGUCCUCUUCCUUACUAGACUAGUGCCCAACCUCUGUUAGAAGGGGCGUUAGACGAGCUAGAAGCUCAUCCUUUGGCAGUUUUUUUUGAUAGAACAAUCUUCCCUUUAGCCAGCUGGAACAACAACCAUUGCUCUUCUGAUACAGGUCUCCAACUGGACGUACACAGCUGUUUUUUGUUCUUUUUGAAAUAAUUGUCCAACUCCUCUGCCCACCUCUGACAUGUAGCCUUAGUUAAAAUAGGAAGUGCUGCUAAUUUCAGUCAAUGCCUGUUCAGCACAACACACUUCUACAGUAUUUUUCAUCACUAAUCAUAAAAGCUAUCUGUGUGAUCAUUGCAAGAAUUGCGCUAACGCUGCUGACCAGCUAAGGCUGUUCCUCUUGGCCACGGUGGCUGCAGGAGUGAACGGGGGGCCCCUGGGCCUGUAUCAUGCAGCAGCUUUGAGAGCUUGCUUUGCCUCCCACCUUUCUCUUCCAGAUGUCAGGUGCUAGUGAAACGUGCCAGGCUUUCUGAGGAGUAAUCAGAUCAAUCUGAGCAGAGAACAAGCUGUCAUAAUUCACUAUGCUAAUGAAAAUUAUGAUGACAUCACAACAAAAAAAUCCUUGCCAAUCUAAUCAUCUCACAGCACCAUGACACAAAGUUAUUUAAAGGCUAAUGUUCUCGGCAGCAUGUAAAAGCUACCAACAAUUUCUGAAGGUGAUUAAACAUCAGAGCGAAGUGGAGCUGUAUGGAGAAUUUAGCUGUUGUCUGGCGAGCAUGCAUUCCUCUAAGCACCAGCAUUAUUCAUACUAUGCUAGAGAAAACAAGUUCAACAAAGCAUGAUAGCAGAAAGCGUAGGGAAAAGUAACCUCUGGCCAGAGAAGUGCUGGGAAUUCACUGUUCCUGCCAUGCAACAUUUCACUAAUAGUGAUGUAAGUGGGGAUGCAUACUCUGUUUGCUAAUAUUUAAUUUCCUCACUGUGGGUCAUAAAGUUUGACUCAAAAUUAAUUGAGGAAAAAAGGGAUUAGAGAAACCUUCCGAAGACGCACGUUCCAGCCUUUUCACGGUGUGUAAGCCUAGGACCCAUGCAGAGGGAAAAAGAAAGAUGUUGCGGGUCCCCCUAUCUCCAGCAUAUAGUCAUCACCAUGUGCGACCAAUAUUUGUUUCAUUAUCUUUUGCAGGAAGCGUACGGAGGAAAGAAUCCACAAUAGGUGCAUCAGGGAAAAAGCAUGAACUCACAUUAGUUUUAGAGAGCUGUAAGAACUAGUUUGUGCAAUUUGAUCUACCUCAAGCUCUAGCCCCAGCAGUGACUCAUGAAACAGAAUGUCAAACUACAGUAAAUUCAAGGAAUAGACACAGCAUUAAGAGACUGGAGGAAAACCGAGAUGAAUGUGAAAGCAGGCAGUCAAAAAGAAAAAGAACAAGCAGCAAGGUUGGAGGGAGAAAGGAGAGGGAACAAAGGGAAUCUGAGGCAAGGAGAGCAACUGGAACAUGACAAUAUGUUGGAUUCCACAGAAAUCUUUUAAUAUUUCGUUAUAUAUUCUCUGUUCCCUUACUCGGAGGUAUUGCUUUUCAGAAGAAAUUUAACUUGAAAAGGUAUUUGCAAGGAAGAAUAGGAGCCUCAGGUAAGCAAAGGGAGAAUCCUGCUUGAAUCAAUUCCUUUUUGGCUCUCAGACAAGGCCAGGGGAAUAAAUACUUGAAAAGUGCAGCA
rnacentral:lncRNA from 1 species